rnacentral:rRNA from 1 species
GAUGAACGCUGGCGGCGUGCCUAAUACAUGCAAGUCGAGCGAACAGAUGAGGAGCUUGCUCCUCUGACGUUAGCGGCGGACGGGUGAGUAACACGUGGAUAACCUACCUAUAAGACUGGGAUAACUUCGGGAAACCGGAGCUAAUACCGGAUAAUAUAUUGAACCGCAUGGUUCAAUAGUGAAAGACGGUUUUGCUGUCACUUAUAGAUGGAUCCGCGCCGCAUUAGCUAGUUGGUAAGGUAACGGCUUACCAAGGCAACGAUGCGUAGCCGACCUGAGAGGGUGAACGGCCACUCGGGAACUGAGACAGGGCCCAGACUCCUAGGGGAGGCAGCAGGAGGGAAUUUUCCGCAAUGGGGGAAAGCCUGAGGGAGCAACGCCGCGGGAGUGAAGAAGGUCUUCGAAUCGUAAAACUCUGUUAUUAGGGAAGAAAAAAUGUGAAAGUAAAUAUGCCCGUUUUGUCGGUACCUAUCAAAAAAGCCACGGCUAACUACGU